CCUACGGGAGGCAGCAGUAGGGAAUCUUCCACAAUGGGCGCAAGCCUGAUGGAGCAACACCGCGUGAGUGAAGAAGGGUUUCGGCUCGUAAAGCUCUGUUGUUGGAGAAGAACGUGCUGGAGAGUAACUGUUCACGCAGUGACGGUAUCCAACCCGAAAGUAACGGCUAACUACGUGCCAGCAGCCGCGGGAAUAAGUAGGUGGCAAGCGUUAUCCGGAUUUAUUGGGCGUAAAGCGAGCGCAGGCGGGUGCUUAGGUCUGAUGUUAAAGCCUUCGGGUUAACCGAAGAAGUGCAUCGGAAGCCGGGCGACUUGAGUGCAAAAGAGGAUAGUGGAACGCCAUGUG
rnacentral:rRNA from 1 species